UUGUUUUUGCUUCCCACAUAUGUGAUCUUUGGUCAUUUCCCUUCCUAAAAGCAUCUCUUUUUCUACUAUGUGAAAUGAAAGUAACAAUGCCUGCAGAGAUGUGUUGAAGAUUAAAUUACUUAAAUGUAACUGCCAAGGUUCAAAGCAGCCACUCAAUAAAUACGAGUUUCUUCCCCUUGCCUACCUCCACCUGAACUAGGCAAGGAAAGUAAAGGAAGGAAUCUGGUUCAGUAAUGAAGGGAGCCUCAGUGCAUGCAAUAAACACUCACUAACUGACAUUUCUCUACUUCGCUGCCUAGGUAAAAUCACUGAAGAGGAAGAACAGGAGAUGACAUUUGUGGAUCAAUCCUCCUAUCUGCUUCCAGUCAUCACACAUUAGCCUUUUACUCAUGAAGAGUCAAAGCUCUACUGCCUGAAUGAGCCCAGGACACUUGCCUCCACCCAUCCAGUGUUAUCACCUAGGCUCUAACUCUGUUAAAGUCCAUUUCUUCACUACUGAACAUUGGAAAAUGGGUGUGGACGAGUGAGAAAGUCUGGAACAGGAGGAAAAGAAAAGGGAACAGAUUCCUAGAUGUUCCAGCAAGUGGAAACACAGUUGGGAAAACAUGGCUUGGGAAGCAGAGACUUGGAGGAGGAGGAACUGUGUCCCUGGGGAAACCCGUCUUAUUGUGCUCCAACAGACAUCAAAGCCUGGAAGAUACCUGAACUAGAAAAUGGGAAGAAAAUUAUUCUCCUGGUGGCUUUUGUAAAUUCGUUUGUAUUCGGUGUAAUUGUCACCUGCUGCUUCGGUGGAACUCCCUGUCCCUUUCUGUUGGGCAGAAGGAAUGGGCCCAUCCGUAAUAGAUACGGAGAGGAAAACAAAGUGAUGACAACUCAGUGGGCAAGCAGGGCAAGAGCUGUUUCUGCAGAGAGCUUAGUAGCACAGCCCUAUUCACUUUUGCUGGGAUGUAUGCGUCUGGGACAUAAUGGGGCUGUGCAGAGAUAGCACUGGAACAGACUGAUAACCAAAACUGAAAUUUCAAAAGGGAGGCUACAAUCGAGCCAAUAAAAAGUGAAAGGGCUGCUUUAUAAUUCCCAGUUCUCCCAUUCUUAUUUUUUUCUGUUUUCCACAGGUUCCAAGCUGAAGAGU
rnacentral:lncRNA from 1 species